rnacentral:rRNA from 1 species
GCAAGUCGAGCGGCAGCACAGAGUAACUUGUUUCUCGGGUGGCGAGCGGCGGUUGGGUGAGUAAUGCCUGGGAAAUUGCCCUGAUGUGGGGGAUAACCAUUGGAAACGAUGGCUAAUACCGCAUGAUGCCUACGGGCCAAAGAGGGGGACCUUCGGGCCUCUCGCGUCAGGAUAUGCCCAGGUGGGAUUAGCUAGUUGGUGAGGUAAGGGCUCACCAAGGCGACGAUCCCUAGCUGGUCUGAGAGGAUGAUCAGCCACACUGGAACUGAGACACGGUCCAGACUCCUACGGGAGGCAGCAGUGGGGAAUAUUGCACAAUGGGCGCAAGCCUGAUGCAGCCAUGCCGCGUGUGUGAAGAAGGCCUUCGGGUUGUAAAGCACUUUCAGUAGGGAGGAAGGUGGUAGUGUUAAUAGCGCUAUCAUUUGACGUUACCUACAGAAGAAGCACCGGCUAACUCCGUGCCAGCAGCCGCGGUAAUACGGAGGGUGCGAGCGUUAAUCGGAAUUACUGGGCGUAAAGCGCAUGCAGGUGGUUUGUUAAGUCAGAUGUGAAAGCCCCGGGCUCAACCUGGGAAUUGCAUUUGAAACUGGCAAACUAGAGUACUGUAGAGGGGGGUAGAAUUUCAGGUGUAGCGGUGAAAUGCGUAGAGAUCUGAAGGAAUACCGGUGGCGAGGGCGGCCCCCUGGACAGAUACUGACACUCAGAUGCGAAAGCGUGG